UGAGUCAAUGAUUCUGACCCUGACAUGCUGCCUUUAACUUAGUUCCCAUAGUGCAUGACAGCCCCUGUCAGCUUGUAGAUGGCUGUUUUCUCAUCUGGAGUGAAGCCCAGGAUGUCAAUGGCGCUCUAACAAAUGAGUCAUUAAGUCUUCCCGGCACCGGAUUCUCCGCUGUCAGAGCCAAGAGAGAAGCAGAGGGUGCGUGGUCAGGCAGGAGGUCCCCUGGCACCGGGCAGCCCCGCAGGGACCCGCGCAGGGGCUGUACGUACGUGAUCAGGAUGGACUGGUUCUCCCGAUCUGUGAACGAGGCAGAAACAAAUAGACAUUGUAAAUGAAGAACACAAAAGUACUGAAAAUGAAUGUAAGUUAUGAGUUUUAUCAAGACAAACCAGAAGAGUUUUGAUAUGAUGCUUAUGAUGAGAGCCACUCACCAGUCAGCAUGAACUGAUAGGCGUUGUCAGAGAUGGAGAAGAUGUGUGGAGGGGC